CAGCGUCCGUGCUGCCCGCCUGUCAUUGCAGUGGCCACCCUUCCAGGUGGCCUGGGUGGCCAUCGUUCUUGGUCCAUGGGUGUUCCCGGGAGUCCUGUUGAGCAGAGAUGCGAUAGGACCAGGGUCACUGAUGGGAUUACUAAUGGAUUGCUGACAGAUGGGGCAGACAGGAGGUCAGUCAGAGCUACUCUGGCUGCGGUGACAGCUGGUCUUCCUUGGUCAAGCAGACCCAACUCUCCUCACAGGGGGAGACUCUGCUAGGAUGGUUGGGAUGGACUGAGGCAAAUAUGCAUCCUCCGGGCAGUGGCCCUUUCCUUUGCUGGCUUUAUUGAGAGAGAGGUCUCCAGUACAGAGUGGCCCUCUCCUUCCAUGGGGCCACCUGAGGCAAAGAAACUGUUUCUGUGCUGCUUGAGUAUAAUCUCUUUGGGAAAUGGGGUGCUUAACGCCUAGAAGAGGUGAGUCUUAAGGGAGCCUGAGAGGGAAUUAGGUCACAGGUGCCCAGCAGACCCACUUGUACCAGCUGCUCUAGAAAGGAAAGCAGUCUUGUAAAUAGAAGGCAGAAGUGUAUACAUGGUCACAGACAGAGGUCAGGGUGGAAGUGAGAACUGAAAUUCAGGUUUCUUACCAUUAGAGUCCCCUCUCCCCCAUUGCCUGCCAGGGGAAUAGUGAAUAAUAGAUAGUAAUAAUAAGAAGAAGAAUAGUUAACCCAUGUAUGCUCUCUAUAUGCUAGACAUUGUUCUAAUGGUUUAAUACAUAACAUUUAAUCCUCAUAUCAACUACAAUAGUCCCCAUUUAACAGAUGGGGGAAAGGGACACUCAUAAGUUAAGUGACCAAGGUCACAAGAGAGAACGGUGUGAUACCAGGACUCAAACCCUGGCAGUCUGGGUCCAGAGUCCACAGUCUUAUCCACAUGUGUGUGUGUGCAUAUGCAUGCCUGUGUUCAUGCACAUGUGCGUGAGAGAAAAGGAGAUACAGACGUGGAGAUGGUGAUAAGCAUAUGGCUCAUGUGGUUCCUCUCCAAAAAGUAUUCCCAGACUAAAUAAUGGUUCCAAGAGUGCCUGUUAAGUCUUCUCCAAUCCUUACCACAAUCCAGCGAGAUUUUUCAGUUUCUAAGUAAGAAAAAAGAAACUCAGAAAAGUGGAGCGAAUUGCCCAGGACCACUCAGAGAGUAUGGGUGACCAGGAUUAGAAUCAAGGCCACAUUCUUUCCAGGAAAACCCCAGGCCUUGUCUGGAGAGGACCCCUCCCCUUGCCAAGUGCAUGGGCCAAUCAGAUAGCUCACAGAACUCGUUCAUAAGUUUUUUUGAAUUUUCGUUACACAUGUCAUUGAAAGAUCCUCGUAUCUAUAUCAUCUGGCUGAUAAAUUUAAUAAGAUCUGAUCUGACUCUAUAGAUCACUGGAAGAACAGAAUGGACCCCUCUUUGCUGAUCAUUUUUGUAGGGAAUAUCAAUCCAAUAUUCUGGAUUCAUUGACGGGCACGUAUUUCCAGAACUAAAGAGAUAGCCCAGUGAUAGUCCCUAAUGCUUAUCCUUGAAGAAGGAGCUGCCCCCAAAUGCAAGGAAAGAUGCUACAAAAGACUAUUCCUGCUCCUUAAUUUAACCUAGCAUCUGCUUGUUUUUGUCCUUCCCCUUCAAGGGGUUUUUUGACUAGCCAGAAGGUAAGAAUGUUGUCUGAGUCCUAAUCUGGACAAACUUGACCUGCGAACUCACACGUGGCUUCAGGCAGCAUCAUUUUGUGUGUGAUUUCAUCUGGAGGAUGAAGGCAUAGGUAGCUGGGGGAGCAACUGAAAUGGGGAGGCCAGAGUGGCAUCUGUCUCAGAAAUUGUCUCAGGCCUAGCAGUGUAAAUUCAUGCUCAAUCCCCGGGCCAGAAGGUCUGCAGGCAUUGCUGUAGGAGCUGAUUCAUGGAGGGCUCAGGGAGGAGGGGGCAGGAACAUUCUGCUUUGAGGGAGUGCCAGAGUCACGUGGGGUGGGGGAGGGGACUGUUACCUUCCCUUCCAUAGGGGUCUGGGCAAGGGGUGGGGGGGAGCUGGAUGUUCUCUGUGGGGUGGGAUGGGGUGGGGGUGGGGAAGCCAGCAGAACAAUGGCAGGGCUGCUAGUGAGCACCUGUGAGACGCCCUUCAGGGCCCACAGAGAUUCUUGGAAGGCGGCGCCGAGGACUGAAAUCCUCUAUUCCGUACUCCGGCCCUCAUCAGCUUUGCCAGAGGGGGAAUUAUACUGCAGGUUUCAGGAGCUGUCUUUGUCAGGGGACACAGCACAGUCAGCGGGAUGUUGGAGGGAAAUUCCAUUAAAAGGAAGAGAGAUAGAGUUGGAUUAUAAACGAAGAAGCGCAUAUCCUCUCUCACUUCCUGAAGCUGAGCCAAGUGACUUCCAGAAAAGUUCCCAGAUAAAUGGCGGGAAAUCGCUUCAGGGAGAGGGAAGACUGAUGGUGAUGAACGCUCUGGAUGUGGCCCAGGGAGGAAGCCACCUGACGGCAGUGCAUGCUGGGGCUAUCGUUCUCAUGUACUCCAUGAGGUCAACAAGAGGCAGGCAGAGCUCACAUCGUAUACCUGAGCUGUGUCACAUGGACGCUUGCUGGAGCCUGGGGUCCAGGCUGGGAGACCAGACAGCUCAGCUCACCCACUCGUCACCUGAAGAUGUGAGAAAGCUACUCAACCUCCUUAUCCUCAUUUAUGUUUUGCCCCUUCGUCUGUUAAGAAAUGAGUUAAUGCUUUAUGAUUUCCUAUCACUUUUUUCUGUCAAUUAAUACUUAUACUUUGAACAAGUUUUGUUUUCUACACUUCACGUCUAUGUUACUUAGGACUUAAAAUUUAUGCCUGUUAUUGAUUUCAUUCCUGAAGGUGAUAUUCUUUAUCAACAAAAUAUUACCUUCUGGGACCCAUCAAUUUUUGCAGCCUUAAAUUUUAAUUUGACUGAUACUAAUUUUGUAAUAUUUAUUUUCUUUUUGGUUUGUGUUUGCCUGGUGAAUUGCUCCAGUAUUUUCAUUUUUAUGAGUUAGUAUGCCUCUUUAUAGGCAGCAUGUAGCUGAAUUUUCUAGGAAAAUAUAAGUUAAGUCUAUAAGAAGUAGGUGCCUUAAUAAAUCAAUAGCUAUAGAGGAUACUAAGCAAGUUGUUGGAGGACUGCUUUCAAGAAAGUCAGAAGGCUCAGAUAGGUGUAUAGUUUAUGGGUGAGUUUUUUCAAACUUAGAACAAAAAAUUGAUUCCCACACUAAAUAAAUCAUUGCAAAACACAUUAAAAUAUGUAACGCUUUCCAAAUCA